UUUUUUUUUUUUUUCUCCGCCGGCAGCACUCGGCUGUUCUCAACUUCCCCCACACCCGCGCCCCGAAAACCAGAGGCUGAAGGCUGUAUCUGAUGUCCUGGAAACUGGAGUGAGUGCAUUAUCGUAGCAUUCAGAAGGCAGCACAAUGAGUUGUGUGAUCUGGGGGUGUGUCUACAUGUGCUUACAAUAAACUGCUGCAAAUGUUUCUCCUUCACAGAGGCUAGUGAAGAUUAGAAGGAGAAAAUGGCAG